UUAAAUGGCCGCGGUACCCUAACCGUGCGAAGGUAGCAUAAUCACUUGUUCGUUAAAUACGGACUAGUAUGAACGGCUUCACGAGGGUUUAACUGUCUCCCUACUUUAAUCAAUUAAACUGAUCUCCCCGUGAAGAAGCGGGGAUAAAUAUAUAAGACGAGAAGACCCCAUGGAGCUUUAAACCCAGAACCAACUACUAACACUUUCCAUAAAAACACUGUAUACCUGGCUUCUGGUUUUUGGUUGGGGCGACCGCGGAGCAAAACACAACCUCCAUGAUGAAUAUACAUUUUUACUAAAGAGCUACACCUCUAAAGAUCCUUAAUAUGACAUUUCUUGACCCAAGACCACUUGAGCAACGAACCUAGUUACCCUGGGGAUAACAGCGCAAUCCAUUUUGAGAGCUCCUAUCGACAAAUGGGUUUACGACCUCGA
rnacentral:rRNA from 1 species